GAUGAACGCUGGCGGCGUGCCUAAUACAUGCAAGUCGAGCGAACGGACGAGAAGCUUGCUUCUCUGAUGUUAGCGGCGGACGGGUGAGUAACACGUGGAUAACCUACCUAUAAGACUGGGAUAACUUCGGGAAACCGGAGCUAAUACCGGAUAAUAUUUUGAACCGCAUGGUUCAAAAGUGAAAGACGGUCUUGCUGUCACUUAUAGAUGGAUCCGCGCUGCAUUAGCUAGUUGGUAAGGUAACGGCUUACCAAGGCAACGAUGCAUAGCCGACCUGAGAGGGUGAUCGGCCACACUGGAACUGAGACACGGUCCAGACUCCUACGGGAGGCAGCAGUAGGGAGUCUUCCGCAAUGGGCGAAAGCCUGACGGAGCAACGCCGCGUGAGUGAUGAAGGUCUUCGGAUCGUAAAACUCUGUUAUUAGGGAAGAACAUAUGUGUAAGUAACUGUGCACGUCUUGACGGUACCUAAUCAGAAAGCCACGGCUAACUACGU
rnacentral:rRNA from 1 species